UUUGAUAAGAGGUGUGCAUAUAGUAUGGGAUGUCCAUGAUAAGAACUGACUUUUGUUUUUUUCUACUUAUUAGAAAUUGGAUCUUUACAGCCCUUUAUAGUGUAAUAAUGUCCCGUAUCUUAAAAAUGCUGCAGUAAAAUGGUUUGAUAUGAGGUGUGCAAAUAGUAUGGGACAUCCCUUAUAGGAACAGACCAUUGUUUUUUUCUACUUAUUAGAAAUGGGAUCUUUACAGCCAUUUAAAGUGUAAUAAUGUCCCAUAUCUCGAAAAUGCUGCAGUAAAAUGGUUUGAUAUGAGGUGUGCAUAUAGUAUGGCAUGUCCUUUAUAAGAACUGACCAUUGUUUUUUUCUACUUAUUAGAAAUGGGGUCUUUAUAGCCCUCCAAAUCACCAUUUGGACCCAUAUCUCAAAAAUGCUGCAGUAAAAUGGUUUGAUAUGAGGUGUGCAUAUAGUAUGGGACAUCCCUGAUAAGAACUGACUGUUGCUUUUUUCUACUUAUUAGAAAUGGGAUCUUCACAGCCAUUUAAAAUGUAAUAAUGUCCCAUAUCUCGAAAAUGCUGCAGUAAAAUGGUUUGAUAUGAGGUGUGCAUAUAGUAUGGGAUGUCCCUGAUAAGAACUGAUUUUUGUUUUUUUCUACUUAUUAGAAAUGGGAUCUUUAUGACCCUUUAAAUUGUAAUAAUGUCCCAUAUCUUGAAAAUGCUGCAGUAAAAUGGUUUGAUAUGAGGUGUGCAUAUAGUAUGGGACAUCCCUGAUAAGAACUGACUGUUGCUUUUUUCUACUUAUUAGAAAUGGGAUCUUUACAGCCAUUUAAAAUGUAAUAAUGUCCCAUAUCUCGAAAAUGCUGCAGUAAAAUGGUUUGAUAUGAGGUGUGCAUAUAGUAUGGGACAUCCCUGAUAAGAACUGACCAUUGUUUUUUUCUACUUAUUAGAAAUGGGAUCUUUACAGCCAUUUAAAGUGUAAUAAUGUCCCGUAUCUUGAAAAUGCUGCAGUAAAAUGGUUUGAUAUGAGGUGUGCAUAUAGUAUGGGACGUCCCUGAUAAGA